rnacentral:lncRNA from 1 species
GAUCUGCCCGCCUCUCUUUUCUGAUCGCGUCUCUUUCCCUCUCCACUCCCGGUCCGGACUUCGGCCCGGAGAAGCCGCGAGCAGGAGGAGCUGUGCGCCCCAAGAUCUCACCCUAGGAGGAGAGGGGCUUGGCUGCGGGAACCGGCCGGGACAGCCCCACCACCACCACCACUUUCUGCAUCCCCGCACUCGUAUGGGCCUUUCCAAUUUGACCUGAAAAGCCGGUGUCGCUAAGACUGAAGAGGGGAAACUGAGGCACGGGGACAGAAAACUUUAUGCCUGAGUUCGAGGCUGCAGGGCUUAAGUCGGCGGCGGGGUUGGCAGGG